rnacentral:piRNA from 1 species
UUAAAGGAGAAAAUGUUUUUA